ACUUGUGCUCUUCCGAUCAAGUGUAGUAUCUGUUCUUAUCAGUUUAAUAUCUGAUAUGUGAGCCAUCGGCUCACACGAUAUUAAAUUAAUUUUUUUCAUGGGGGAGUUCCCAUCACAGCAGCUUGCUGCUGGGUUCUCAUGCGUCGCCUUUGCGU